AUUGAACGCUGGCGGCAGGCCUAACACAUGCAAGUAGAACGAGUGGCGGACGGGUGAGUAAUGUCUGGGAAACUGCCUGCUGGAGGGGGAUAACUACUGGAAACGGUAGCUAAUACCGCAUACCAUCGGAUGUGCCCAGAUGGGAUUAGCUAGUCGGUGGGGGAACGGCUCACCUAGGCGACGAUCCCUAGCUGGUCUGAGAGGAUGACAGGCCACACUGGAACUGAGACACGGUGCAGACUCCUACGUGAGGCAUCAGUGUGGAAUAUUGCACAAUGGGCGCAAGCCUGAUGCAGCCAUGCCGCGUGUAUGGAGAAGGCCUUCGGUUUGUAAAGUACUUUCAGCGGGGAGGCGUUACCCGCAGAAGAAGCACCGGCUAACUCCGUGCCAGCAGCCGCGGUAAUAC
rnacentral:rRNA from 1 species